CACGGGGAAGGGGCUGAAUGAAACAUCUCUGCUGUGAUGGUAGGAUGGAGACCCAUAACAUAAUCAUCAUCACACAGGCGACGAGGAAUGGAGACAUUCAAUGUACUUGGGAAUGAAAUCUCUCCGGGAGACGCACUACCGGGUCCGUCACACAACGAGACCGUUUGGAGCUUGUCACCUUCACCGGGCACCGGACCCUCACCUGUAUCCGAGCUCUCCUUCAGCCUAAAGAGCCUCCGAUGCCACGACGGCGCCGACACCCCACGCAGAAAGCUGCGACUGACGCCGGAGCUAGUGACUCCCAGUCCCCCGGGCCCACGCCGGGUUCGACUUGUGGCAGAGGGCUUGUCCCUCAGGGAGAUGAGACGCCGACAGGUCUGGGCAAGCUCUGGAUGACAGACGGGGACAUAUCCUAAUGAAAGAUUAGCGGUUCCUCAUGGCUUGAUGACGCUGGGUAGAGUUAGAACGCAUCAGAGGCAGAACUAUUGGCUCAAUCCCAAAUGGGACACAGUUCCCGACAUAGUGCACUACUUCUGACUAGAGCCCUAUGUAGGCCCCUUGUCAACGGUAGUGCACUAUAUAGAGAAUGGGGUGCAAUUUGGGACAGACACAUUGAGAUUUAAAUCCAGUUUGUCCAGAAUUUAAAUCUCUGUAUAUCUUAUGUUGAGCAUGACUUUUCAGUUUGUGAAUCAUUUACAUGUGUAGCUUCCCUUUUGAUAAAUAAAUUAUUCUCAAAGAUUUUAAGUCAGAUUUUUUCCCCACAAUAUUCUCUCUAUGUAGGUAAUGUCCUAACAGACUCCGGG